GUAACAAUAAUUAUUUAUAUAAAAAUACCCGAAAUAAAAAGAUCUAAAAACGUUAUAAGGAAUCGUUGUUAAGAUUAAAUAUGUGGCAUAAUAUAAUUGUAAUAACUUUUUAGGGGAGAAAUUCCAACAGUUUUUAUGAUAGCUGGAUUAAGGAGAAAAGUAUUAAGUACUAAAAACAAUUAUAAAGUGAUAAGAUUUUAUAAUUAAAAUAAGAUGUUUUUAAUAGUCGUAGGGCUAAUCCCCUCAAAGCUUGUUAUCUGAUAACAUUUAAUAAAUGUAUCUUUUUAUUUUCUUAUCCUUAUACUUAGAUCAAUCAGAUGUUCUUAGUUUAUAAUGUUUAAAUUAGUAUCUAAUAUUAAUAAUUUUUAUUAAGGAACUCGGCAAAUAUUAUAUUCGACUGUUUAUCAAAAACAUAGUCCGUUGUUAUUUAUAAUGGAUAUCGACUGCCCGGUGAUUUUUAUUUAACGGCCGCAGUACCUUGACUGUGCGAAGGUAGCAUAAUAAUUUGGCCUUUAAAUGGGGUCUAGGAUGAAAGGACUUACGAAUAGCAGCUGUCUCAAACUUUAAUUAAAGAAAACUUAUUUUAAAGGUGCAAAUACCUUUGUAAUUAUAUAAUAGACGAGAAGACCCUUAGAAUUUAAUUUAAAAUAAAGAUAUAUCUUUAUUUCGAUUUUGUUGGGGCAACAAAGCAGCAGCUAUUUAAUCUGCUUUUCCAUUUAUAAAAAUAUGCCGACUAUUAGUAAGAGGAUAUAAAUUACCUUAGGGAUAACAGCAUAAUUUAAUAAAGAUUGUGACCUCGAUGUUGGAUUAGGGCCAUAAUAAUUUAACCAAUUAUUUUGUUAGUUCUGUUCGAACUAUGUAACCUACAUGAUCUGAGUUCA
rnacentral:rRNA from 1 species